CUCUCCAGAGCUGCAGAGGACCCCUGAGACUACCCUUGACUGAAGGUUCAAAAGGGUCUUGCUACAUAGUUCAGGCUGGCUGCAAACCUACAGAAGUCCUCCUGCCUCAGCCUCCCAAUGACUUACAGGAAAGGAGAGGAAUUCCCUACAUGUCCUGCGAUGGAACUGGAAUUGGAAUCUGGAAUCUGAGACCCUAAAGCCUUCUCCCUUAGGGCCCGACUCAUUCUUCUUCAAGAGCAGGGCCAUACUGGAGCCAUAGAGGUGGAAGAGUGCCAUAGAGCUCCUAUCACUAACUAUCAGGGAAAUGCAAAUCAAAACCACAGUGAACUGGCCGGGAAUAUGGCUCAGGGGCACAGCACCUGCCUGGCAAACAUGAGUUUGAUCCCUGGAACAACAACAACAAGAAACAACCCACAGUGAACUAUCAUCUCAUCUCCUUCCAGUUACAUGACUAUUAUAAGAAAAGACAAAGAAUAACACAAAGUGCUGGUGAAGAUGUGGAGAAAGGGGAGCUCUCCUAAGUGAAUAUAGCCAUUAUGGAAAACAGCAAGGAGAUUCCCAAAAGAAACUUAAAAUAAAACUCCCAUAUGGUCCAGCAGUUCUGCUCUGGAGCGCCUAUCCCAGGAAAAGAGACUAGUAUCUCAGAAACAUUGUACACUGAUGUGUUCUGCAAUACCACACACAACAGCCAAGAAAUAGAAUCAACCAAGGUAUCCACUGAUGACAGAGUGGAUGAA